UUUCCGUAGGUGAACCUGCGGAAGGAUCAUUACCGAGUUAGGGUCUCCUUCGUGAGGCCCGACCUCCCAACCCUGUGUCUAACAAACCUGUAUGUGUUGCUUCGGCGGAACGGCAGUCACCCCUCCGGGGGAGACCGUCGCCGGGGGCGUCCAGCCCUUGGAGAGCGUCCGCCGAUGGCCCAACCAAACAAACUCCCAAACCAAAAUGUAUGUGAAACACAAUUCUGAAUCAGACCUUUUGAUAUACCAAUCAAAAACAAAACUUUCAACAACGGAUCUCUUGGUUCUGGCAUCGAUGAAGAACGCAGC
rnacentral:misc_RNA from 1 species